AUGAUGAAAAUAAAUAGAUUAAGAAGUUACCUUAAAGAGAGGGGAGAAGAUGGCACUGUAGGACCAACUCAGGAUUGCAGCUCCCAGUGGAAGCGCAGAGGGAAGCAUGGAGGAUCUGCUUGGCUUUUGUGGAGGCCUCAGGAAGCUUACAAUGUUAGCAGAAGGCAAAGAGAAGCAGACACAUCUAAAAUGGCCAGGAGGAAGAGAGAGGAGAGAGAGAGAGAGAGAGAGACACUUUUAAACAACCAGAUAUCAAGAGAACUCACUCACUGUCACAACAACAGCAUGGAGAGGAUGAUGCUAACCCACUGGUGAGAACUCGGUCCUCAUGAUCUAAUCACCUCCCACUGGGCCCCACUUCCAACACUGGAGAUUACAAUUUGUUAUGAAAUUUGUUGGGGAUAUAGACCCAAACCAUAUCACUGCUGGCCAUUUGUGUAUCUUCUUUUGAGAAAUGUUAAUCAGAUCCUUUGCCUUUUUUUUUUUUUGAGACGGAGUUUUGCUCUUGUUACCCAGGCUGGACUGCAAUGGCGCGAUCUCGGCUCACCGCAACCUCCGCCUCGUAGGUUCAGACAAUUCUCCUGCCUCAGCCUUGUGAGUAGCGGGAUUACAGGCACACGCCACCAUGCCCAGCUAAUUUUUUUUGUAUUUGUAGUAGAGACGGGGUUUCACCAUGUUGACCAGGAUGGUCUCUAUCUCUUGACCUCAUGAUCCACCCGCCUCGGCCUCCCAACCUUUGCCCAUUUUUAAUGGGAUUAUUUGGCUUUUUCUGGUUGAGUUCCUUAUAUUCUGGAUAUUAGUCCCCUGUCAAACAGUUUACAAUAUUUUCUCCUAUUCUAUAACUUGUCACUUCAUUCUGUUGAAUGUUUUCUUUGCUGGGCAGAAGUUUUUAAUUUAAUAUUGUCUAGUUUGUCUACUUUUCAUUAUUGCCCUCACUUUUGAAGUCUUAGUCAUAAAACUUUGCCUAGAUUAAUGUCCUGAAGUGUUGCCCCUAUGUUUUCUUAUGAUAGUUUUAUAAUUUGGGGUGAUGCUUAAUUCUUUACUCCCCUUUGAGUUGAUUUUUGUAUAUGGUGAGAGAUAGGGGUCCAGUUUCAUUCUUCUGCAUAUGGACAUCCAGUUUCCCCAGCACAAUUUAUCAAAGAGGUUGUUCUUUCCUCAAUGUGUGUUCUGGGAACCUAUGUCAAAAAUCAGUUGGCUGUAAAUAUGUACAUUUAUUUCUGAGUUCUCUAUUCUGUUUCACUGUCCUACAUGUCUGUUUUUAUACCAAUACCAUGCUGUUUUUGUUACUACAUAUAUCCUUGUAGUAUAUUUUGAAGUCGGGUAGUGUGAUGCCUCCCAUCAGGUAGUGUGAUACCUCAGAAUUACUUUGGCUAUUCUGACUCUUUUUUUGUUACAUACAAAUAUUAGAAUUUUUUUCUAUUUCUGUGAAGGAUGUCAUUGAUAUUUUGAUAGAGAUUUCAUUGAAUCUGUAGAUUGCUCUGGUCAUUUUAAGAAUUUUAAUUCUUCUGAUCCAUGAGCUGGAAUAUCUUUUAAUUUGUGUCCUCUUUAAUUUUUUUAUUAGUGUUUUGUGAUUUUCCAUACACACACACACACACACACACACACACACACACACACACACAUAUCUGUUACAUCUUUGGAGAAAUAGAUUUUUAGAUAUUUCUGUUCUUUAUAGCUAUUGUAAAUUGGAACUGCUUUCUUGAUAUCUUUUUCAGAUAGUUUAUUAUUGGUAUGUAGAACAUUACUGAUUUUUGUAUCCUGCAACUUUACUGAAUUCAUUUAUCAGUUCUAAAAGGUUUUUUUGGUGGAGGCUUUAGGUUUUUCUAUAUAUAAGGUCAUAUUGUCAGCAAAGAGGGAUAAUUUCACUUCCUCUUUUUAAAUUAUGUUGCCUUUUGUUUCUUUCUAUUGCUGGAUUUCUCUGACAAGGAUUUCCAGUAGUAUGUUAAAUAAGAGAGGUGUAAGUAUGUAUCCUUGACUUGUUUUAGGUCUUAAAGGAAAGGUUUUCAGCGUUUCCACAUUCAGUUUGAUGUUAUCUGUGGGCUUGUCAUAUAUGGUCUUUAUUAUGUUGAAGUAUGUUUCUUCUGUGUCUAAUUUUUUGAGAGUUUUUAAUGUGAAGGGAUGUUGGCUUUUAUAAAAUGCAUAUUCACUGUCAAUUGAAAUGAUCAUAUCAUUUUUGUCCUUCAUUCUCUUGAUGUGAUAUAUCACAUAUAUUGAUGUGCAUAUGUUGAAACAUUCUGGCAUCUCUGGUAUACAUCUCACUUGAUCAUGGUGUAUUAUCUUUUUGAUAUGCUGUUGGAAUAGAUUAGCUAGUAUUUGGUUGAGGUUUUUUGUCUCUCUGUUCAUCAGUGACAGUGGUCUGUAGUUUUCUUCUUUUGCUAUGUCCUUGUGUGUUUUUGCUACAAGAGUAAAAAUGGCUUUGUAGGAUGAGUUAGGAAAAAUUUAGUUCUACUAAGUUUUUAAAAAUAAUCACUUGAGAAAAAUUAUUCUUUAUAAGUUUUGUAGAAUUAAGCAGUAAAGUCAUCCAGUUUUGGGAAUUUUUUGGGAGACUUUUGAUUACUUAUUUGCCAUUGUUACUCAUUACUGUUCUGUUCAGGUUCUCUGUUUCUUCCUUGUUCAAUCUUGGUAGCUUGUAUGUGUCCAGGAAUUUAGCCAUUUCCUUUGGGUUUCCAACUUUGGUAGCAUAUAGUUGUUUAUAAUUAGUCUCUUAUGAUCCUUUGUCUUUCUGUAGCAUCAAUUUGAAUGUCUCCUUUCUGAACUCUGAUUUUAUAGAUUUGAGUCUGCUCUCUUUUUCUUUUUUUGAUGGGAUUUUUUUUUAUUGCAUUUUAGGUUUUGGGGUACAUGAGCAGAACAUGCAAGACAGUUGCGUAGGUACACACAUGGCAGUGUGUUUUGCUUCCUUUCUCUCCUUCACCCACAUUUGGCAUUUCUCCCCAGGCUAUCCCUCCCCACCUCCCCCUCCCACUGGCCCUCCCCUUUUCCCCCCAGUAGACCCCAGUGUUUAGUACUCCCCUCCCUGUGUCCAUGUGUUCUCAUUUUUCAUCACCCGCCUAUGAGUGAGAAUAUGCAGUGUUUCAUUUUCUGUUCUUGUGUCAGUUUGCUGAGGAUGAUGUUCUCCAGAUGCAUCCAUGUCCCUACAAACGACACAAACUCAUCAUUUCUGAUUGCUGCAUAAUAUUCCAUGGUGUAUAUCUUUUUCUUACUAUAGCUAGAUAUUUGUUGAUUUUUAAAAUCUUUUUUAAAACCCAAUUCUUUGUUUUGUUGAUCUUUUGUGUUUUUUUAACCUCUAUUUUGUUUAUUUCUGUUCUGAUCUUUAUUUCUUUCCUUCUACUAAUUU
ensembl:lncRNA